rnacentral:rRNA from 1 species
UACGGGGGGGGCAAGCGUUGUUCGGAAUUACUGGGCGUAAAGGGCUCGUAGGCGGCCAACUAAGUCAGACGUGAAAUCCCUCGGCUUAACCGGGGAACUGCGUCUGAUACUGGAUGGCUUGAAUCCGGGAGAGGGAUGCGGAAUUCCAGGUGUAGCGGUGAAAUGCGUAGAUAUCUGGAGGAACACCGGUGGCGAAGGCGGCGUCCUGGACCAACACUGACACUGAUGAGCGAAAGCCAGGGAGCAAACGGG